GGAAUUUUCCGCAAUGGGCGAAAGCCUGACGGAGCAAUACCGCGUGAGGGAGGAAGGCUCUUGGGUUGUAAACCUCUUUUCUCAAGGAAUAAGUACUGAAGGUACUUGAGGAAUCAGCAUCGGCUAACUCCGUGCCAGCAGCCGCGGUAAUACGGAGGAUGCAAGCGUUAUCCGGAAUGAUUGGGCGUAAAGCGUCCGCAGGUGGCAUUGAAAGUCUGCUGUUAAAGAGUGAGGCUUAACCUCAUAAAAGCAGUGGAAACUACAAAGCUAGAGUGCGUUCGGGGCAGAAGGAAUUCCUGGUGUAGCGGUGAAAUGCGUAGAGAUCAGGAAGAACACCGGUGGCGAAGGCGUUCUGCUAGGCCGCAACUGACACUGAGGGACGAAAGCUAGGGGAGCGAAU
rnacentral:rRNA from 1 species